rnacentral:lncRNA from 1 species
AUCAUCGAACCCACAAAAUGACGAUGGUGACCAGCCAACAAGGCUCAGCGACAAAACACGAAGCAACCAAACACCGUCGGAAAGAAUCCGAACCGAAACCGCGUUCUUUCGGCGAAUUUCGCCGAAAAACGCACCGAAAUCGACCUACCGAUUUCCGCGAAAGCUAACGGACCAUGGACAAUCAGUCCAGCGAUCAAUACAAACUCCUACACACUGCCCACAGUAGCCACGCGAAGCACAAAUGCAUAAAAGACCCUCUAAGUACAUAAAAUAUCAUUAUUUUAUGUAAUUUGAGCGAUCAAGCGGCUCGUUCACGCAAACCGAGGACUUCCGAAGUCCGCAGAGACACGUACUGACAGGUCUCGACGUACCGGAGUCCGUGCUCACGAUCCGGAGCACAGCGGCUCGCUGUGGGGAGCGCGGGAGCAACCCGAAGGUUCAGCGAAUAGCGCGCAGUCAGGGAAGAUUGCGCCGAACAGAACUAACCGGACACUGUUGAUCCAAAGUGAGGUGAGCACUGUGAUCAGCACUGACCAAUGAUCAACGUGCUCACCUCCGGAGGCAUCAGGACAGCCUCGGAUCGCCGGAUAAGCGUGCGCAAACCCAAAACAGCAGCCAAACAGGCUGAAACGGAGCGACAACGCCAAAACAGUGGAACGGAGUCUCCCCGACAGAAACUAAGGUGAGCACGAUGAUCAGCAACUUGCCAGGAUCAUCGUGCUCCCUUCCGUACAGAUCAGGGAGGCUCGGGAAGCCCAGAACGAGAAACCCACUCAAUAAGCUCCAUUUCGGGCUUGGCCGGAGCAACCUUGCUCCGGCCGGCCUCCGGCGGCACGACGGCGUGCGCGGGGCCCUGAGUCGGGUGAGGGGGAGGUGAGGAACACCGUGCUCACCUCAGGUGGCGGCUGGAAGCGGCGGCGGCGGCGGCGGAGCAAACCGAGCCCGCACGAGAUCGAGCUCGGGUUCCAGGAGUUGCUGCGGCCACGGCGGCGGCCGGGGAGCUCCGGGACGGCGGAGGCGGGCUACAGGAGGUCGGGGGAGUGAUUCGGGUGCGGACCCAAGCGGCGGCGGCGCAGGGGGAGCGUCGCACGCUCGCCUCGGCCAGAGCGGGGCUGGGGCGGCUGCGGCUGGCCGAGGCGGCGACGGCGGCGCACCGGGGAGGCGGCGACCGGCGGGAAGGGGUGCCCGGGCUCCGGGAAGUCGGCCGGGGUGGUCCACGGUGGCGGCGGCGCAGAGAAAAAGGCCGCAGGCUUGCCUCGGCCUGGGCUCGGGUUGGGCGGCUGCAGCCGGCCGAGGCGGCGGCGGCGGCGCGCUGGGGCGGCGGCGACCGGCGGGAAGGGGUGCCGGGGCUUCGUGGACGGCGGCGGGAGAGUUUCCAGGCGGCGGCGGCGCGCUGGUGGCUGUGGCAACCCGGUUCGGCCAGGCUCGGCCUGGGCUGCUGCAGGCGGCAGGAGCGGCUGCGGCGGCGCAGGUGACGGCGGCGGUCGGCGGGGAAAGUUGCCGGAGCACGGUGAAGUCCAGGGGGAGGGUCAGCAGGAGGCACAGCCCCGGGCCUUCACACAACCCGAGAGGAGAGAGGGAGAGAGAAAGAGAUGGAGAAAGAGAGAAGUGGUGGCUGUCGCGGUGGUUGGCUUGCCGGGGCUCGGUCGGCGGCGGCCUGGGCACGAGCAGCAGGUGCAGGGGAAGGAGAUGAAGGUGGCUGGGGCGACUAGGGUAGCUAGGGUUAGGGUUGAGUGGCUCCAAACCCUAAAGAGACUUAUAUACAAGGCGCAAUUUGCAAAAAGGUCCACCAAACACCGGAAUUUCAAUCCGAGCCCUUCACCGAACGACCAAAACGCGUGAACGACCCUCCACGUGCGAUCCCUCGCGAAACGGUACAUAAAAUAUCGCGACUUUCGCGAAAAUACCGUUUUGCAACAACCGACCUCUCCUCGAUCAACGCGCGAUCUCCGCAGAUCCGUCCGUCAGAUUUGCGAACGGAUUGCACCGGUGCGAUCAGCACCUCGGAGACAACAAAGCUGCGAUUUCGUUUCGUCUUGAUCGACCACGGAUUCACGACAAGAUCCAACCUUCUUCGAAUAGAAGGAAACACACACAUAAAUACAUAUAAAACAUGUAUUUUUGGAUUUUCUCGAAAUCCGUGCGCCAAACUCAAAAUCCGUCAGCGUCAUUAGUUCCAGAAUAGCUGACCCGGUCGAAACGAGCUAUUGGACUGCUAUGAACAGAGUCCGGUACGAGCCAGAAGCCAACUUCUCACCGCGGCUUCUCCGGAAAAUCGAGUUACUAUUCACUUUAAGUGAAACUUGGAAAUCGCGUAGAAUUUUCAUUUUAACUCGAUUUCGCCCGAAACUUGACGAGUGCUUUUGUAAUUAAAUUACACACAAAAACAUCGUCAACUGAGAGUUUAGCUACACUGCAAAAAUCUCAGUCCUUACAUCAUCCCCCCCC